rnacentral:rRNA from 1 species
AUUGAACGCUGGCGGCAGGCCUAACACAUGCAAGUCGAGCGGAGCGGCGGACGGGUGAGUAAUGCCUAGGAAUCUGCCUGGUAGUGGGGGAUAACGGCCGGAAACGGGCGCUAAUACCGCAUACUAUCAGAUGAGCCUAGGUCGGAUUAGCUAGUUGGUUGGGUAAAGGCCUCCCAAGGCGACGAUCCGUAAAUGGUCUGAGAGGAUGAUCAGUCACACUGGAACUGAGACACGGUCCCGACUCCUACGGUAGGCAGCAGUGGGGAAUAUUGGACAAUGGGCGAAAGCCUGAUCCAGCCAUGCCGCGUGUGUGAAGAAGGUCUUCGGUUUGUAAAGCACUUUAAGUUGGGAGGCGUUACCAACAGAAUAAGCACCGGCUAACUUCGUGCCAGCCGCCGCGGUAAUUC